rnacentral:tRNA from 1 species
GCAUUGGUGGUUCAAUAGUAGAAUUCUCAGCUGCCAUGCCAGAGACCAGGGUUCUAUUCCCAGCCAGUACA